rnacentral:lncRNA from 1 species
UUUUCUUUUGGGGCCCACGUGAUAUUUUUUUUUCUUCUUUUAUUUCCAAAUUGAUCGGUAGACCCCACGGGAAUUCCCAAUUUCCAUUCCACUCAUAUACACACUCUCUCUCACAUAUAUAUGGACACUGACAGUAACAAUACAGAGGGUGGACACCAUCAACAUCAUCUUCUCCACCUUAUACCAUAACAGCAAGACACUUCCAUUUCGAAUCAACUUCCAUUUUUCUCCAAAACAAUAGCCAUUAACGCACACAAUUACCCACAAAUACACAAAAACACGAAGAGUGGGUCGAGGGUGAAGCGAGGUCGAAAGAAAAAUAGAGAGAUAGAGGGGAUCGAAAUGGAUAGAGAGUGAGAGAUAUAGAGGAGGGAUAUGAGAGAUAAAUCGAAGAGGGAGAGAAAAAUUGGUGAGAAUAUGAGAGGCGCAGAUCGGAAACACGAUCGAGCCGGCGUUCUUGGCCGAAAACGGCCCGCCUCCUCCCCGGGAAAUACAAUCAGCUGUUCACCCACCACCACAAACGACCAACAUCCACUUCUCACCGUCCAGAAAUGCAAAACCAGUGAUUAAAUCACCCAAAAUCAGCCUGUUUUUGAGUUGAUUCCGGCGGAGCUUCACCGGAAAUCGUGUACGGGUUUGGUUUGUGCAGUUUCUUUUUUGGGUUAUCUGUUCGUCACUGCAUAAUUGUGUUUGAAUCCUACUCGAGAAAGUUUUCGUGUUCGGUGGGUUGACAGUCGAGAUUGUAUAUCCGUCGAGGUUAUCGGGACGACUCUUAUUUCUCUUAUUAAAAUCAAUCGAAAGCUCUUGAGGGUCAUCUCUUUACUCCCAUUCUGCCUUCUUUAUUUUAUUUUGUUUUGUUGAAAUUAGGGUCCAUCUCUUUACUCCCAUUCUGCCUUCUUUAUUUUAUUUUGUUUUGUUGAAAUUGCUAUGAUUAUAUGUUGGGUGAUUGUAGUUGUUUCAUAUUGUUGAUGUUAUGAUGAUGUGGUUGGUGAUGACUCCGAUGAUAUGAUGAAUGAAUUUGAUUAGUUUUAAUGAUGCGAUUGAUGAAAAGAAAUUUGGGGGUGAAUUCGAGAAGAUGAUAAAAUAGUGAAUUGAGAUUAAUUUGGGUUUAUUAUUAUUUUUUUAAUUCGAAAUAAGUUUGAAUAUUGUGAGAAUAUGAUAGAAUUAUGACAUGUUGAAAUGAAUAGACAAAUGUAGGUUUGGGUAGGCAUCAAUUUAGGAAUAAGUGUUUUUCGUUGAAUGAUUGAAUGCAGAAUGCGUAUUGAAUGUUUUCUAGUUUAUCGUAUAUGACUCAAGUGUAUUCAUUUGGUCGGGGAAUUCCCCGACGUGUUAUGUCUUCGAAGGAGGUUCGUGAACAAAGCCCGAGGCAUCGGGUAAGACAUUGGAGCAUAGUUUAGGAUUAGUGUAGGUUAGCGUAAGUUUAUUUUUCAGUACCUUUUUCAUUUCGGGUUGUAAUAAUUGGACUGAACACUAUAUUUUGGAUUUGUUUUAUUUUGUGUGUUUGAUUGAUUGUUUUUAUGUGCUUUGUGUAGUUUAUGCACUUGUAAUGUCAAAGUUAGCCGAUACGCUCUACCAAGUGACCGUGGUCGAACCACGGGAUCAAGGGGUGCCUAACACCUUCCCCUCGGUCAACAAAAUUCCUUAGCCGGAAUCUCUAUUCGCUGAUCAGUUUUAAAGAGUCAAAUUUGUUUUGAAAAAGGAUAUCCAAGGGUGACUUGGCACAUCCGAUUUAUGCCAAGUGGCGACUCUGAAUUUUGAAUAUAAAAAAUCCUUUUCAAAAUAAAUUUUCAUUUUUUGUCACAUAACAAUAAAAACCCUUUCGAACUUCAAAUUAAUCUUUUUUUGGGAGUUAAACAAGGAGUGUGACAGUUCUGACAACUCUGCUGGGGAUUUUUCAGAAUUCAAGCUUAUUUUUGGAGUUGUAUCAGCUUAGUUUGGCACUAUAGGUGUAUAGGCAUUUGUUUGUGUUGUUUUGUGUUAUUGUUUAUCAUUGUUGAGUGCCUACGUGCUCUUUGUUUACAGUUUUUACUUUAUGUGUUAUCGAUUUAUAUCUGACAUCAUGUGCAUAACCCGAGUCUUUCUUUCUGCAACAAGUUCGUAGGACACGUGUGUACACGACCUAUAGUUGAGUCACCCUCAUUUUAGGGGGGAGCCGUUGGGUUGUAUGGAGUAGGUGGCCAGCUAAAGCAAGCCACUAUCAACCAUACACUUCCCCGAACAGCUUUGUUAGUGGACCCCACGUAGGUCAGCCUUGUUAGUGGAUCCCAGCAUAGGUCAGCCUGUAGUUCAUGCUUAUCUACAUCAUAUUGGGACCUAGCGGGACCCAUGUGGCCCUUUGUAGGAGACUCACCUAUAAAGCAUCCCUACUUGCUAAAUGUUGCAUCUCUAAGGGUGAUAUGGUCAUUUGACGGAUUGAUUUGGGAAAAAGCAUGUGCUAGAUUUAAAUAGACUGUGUAGACAAGAAAAAUUGGAAAAAAAGAGAGGAAAAAGAAAGCAAAAGUGAGUCAAAAGGAAAAAAAAAGAGUUUCGUAGUUUUUAGAGUUUUUUUAUGACUUUUGUUUUUCACAAUUCAAAAAUUCAAAAAAUAAAUUUCUACCUUUCGCACUCAUUUUCUCAAAAACAUCAAAAAUAUUUUCCUAUGUCUCGUUUAGCAUGCAUUCAUAAUUCGAAACUUCAAAAAGAUUUUUCAUUCAUAGGAGUUUUUAUAAAAGAAAAAUGCAAAAAAAGAUGUUAGAAAUUUUUUACGUUUCGGAUUACGAAAAUACCAAAAAGAUUUUUAUUUCAUAGUUGUUGAUGUCAUUUUUGUAUGAAGUGUCAAAUUAAAAAUCCAAAAAGAUUUUAUUUUCAUCGUGUAGUCGUGUCUCUCAAGUCAAGAUUUUGUUGUUCUAUAAUCCUUAAUUGUCCAAUCUGAAUGAACUACGCACCCCUGAUUCUCCUCUCUCGGGAGUGAGAUAUGUAGGCAGCCUAUUGUGGGUUCGGGGAUCUUAUUUCAAGAAUUCAAAAAAUAUUUUAUUCACUCUUCGUUUAGAGUAGGUGUUUCAUAUACAUCUUCAAGAAAAAACUACAAAAAUAUUUUCCUUUAAUAGCUUCAAGUUUUAUUUAUGUAUGAAUGCAAAAUUGAAAAUCCAAAAGAUUUUUCUUUGGUAAUCAUAGGUUUCAUUUUGUAUAUGAAUUUUAAAGCUGAAAAUUCAAAAAGAUUUUCGUCAAUUCUUUUGACAAUUUGUUAUUUUCUUUUCUUCAUAAAGUUUCAUGAAUAAGAAAAAGAAAAGAGUUUGAUUGGCCAUUUUGGCAAGAUUUCAUGAACUACGCACACCUGAUUCUCCUCUCUCGGGAGUGAGAUACGUAGGCGCCCUUCUUGGGUUCGGUGACCUUUUAAAAAAAAAGAGAGAUUUUGAGAAAGUGUUGAACUCUAACGCAUUUGCUAUCUCUUGUUCAGUUAGUUUGAGGUGGUUGGUUUGUGGCAUUUUGGCUGGUCUUCCACAUCAUACAAAAUCUGAAGAAGGUUUAGCUGUGUCCAACAAGGAUAUAGAGAGUGGUCUUAUGGAUCAAACAAAAAGUCAGGAAAAUGAGAGUUUAAAGGAAGAGAAUUUGAGACUAAGACAACAAAUGAUGGAAAUGUAUCGAGCUUGAGCUAGUGGGAUGCCUCCACCUCCGUUCCCCACUUUUGACCCUGCAAAUACCUUGAGUCUUCCACUAGAAUCGCAAAGUCAGUUUCUUACUAUUGUUGAUGCACCACAACAUGCCUCAGAAUCCAUUCCUCAUCAAAUGCACCUCAAUACUUCCACCACUCUUUCUUUAGCUCCUCAGCAUAAGUCUACCACAUUCACAGCACCACAUACCGUUUGUGAUUUUGUUGCUCAACCUUCUACUAAGGCUUUCACAUCGGCUAUCAAUCCAAUGAUUGUGCUUCCCCAGCCCACUAGUGAAUCCACGUUCAAUACUCGUGAUAAUCAUUUUUAUACUCUUGAGCCUACAGUUAAAUUAAGUGGACUGCUAAGAUUUCUUACUAAGAAGCCUAGCAUGCUAGAAGAUCCAGAGAAAAUGUUUGGGAAAGUUAAGAGUAUAGAAAAUGAUAUGAAAAGUUCCUUGGAACUUGUGGGCUAUGAAGAUGUUUCAUAUAAAAGCGGGGCUAUGUUUUCAAGUGUUAACCUUCCUCCAAGCUUUGAGACAUCAAAACUUGGGGAGCUUGGUGGACAGAAUGAUUCUGUGAAACAUUUGGUACGAUAUUGCAAUCAAUCAAGGAAAACUGAAGGAAAGAAGAAGGAAAACACAUCUUUUGUCAUGCCAGGGCCAAAGUAGAGUUUGAGAGGUCUAACUCACCAAUACUGUCAGCCUCAAUCCCGAGCUUACAUAUCAAAUUUACUUAUUCAUCUGCAACAAGGUUCCUCUUUUCAAAAUCCAAGGAUUUCCAUUCCACUUCCUCAAUGUCCUUUGAACAAUGCACAAUUGUGUACCCAUCCGCAUUCUUAUCCACAACGACAUGCACCUGUCCCUCAACAUCGUCCUCGAGCCCCACGAAUUUACCAAGGAACCUCUAAAUCCAAGUUUCAUCCGAGGCUAGAUUUCGCAAAAGGGAGAAAGGAAAAGGAUAAUUUCACUCUUAUUGGGGAGUCCUAUGCUAGUUUGUUCCAUAGAUUGAGAUAGAGGGGCAUGAUUCCUCCUCUCCUUAGGUAUACACCUGACCCACAUUCAAGAAAUUUUGAUCCUAAUGUACGGUGUGCAUAUCAUUCUGAUGUUCAGGAUCAUAGUACUGAAGAUUGUCGUACUUUGAAAAGAGAAAUAAAAAAGAUAAUUCAAGAUAAAUUGAUUGUGGUGCAAAACAUUGGCCCUUCGAUUAUCCCACAGAGUUCUUCACCAGCACGCGGUACUGCAUAAUAUAUGGGAGGCAAUGAGUUAAGCAUGGGGAUCCAGAACUUAUUUGUUGAAGGAAAUAUGUCUGACAGUGGUGGAAGCUCAAGUUAUGCCGAUAUGCAAACCAGUGGCUAAUAUGUCAGGCUGAGCAAUUGAGAAGUCACCCCUCUUCUUACUAGGAAGAGGUCUGGUAGUUUGUUUUAUUUUCUUUUCUGUUUUUCAAAUUAUUUCAGUGUUGUAGUUCGGGAUCUAUCUUUUUUUGUCCUUUUGUCGUUUGUGUUCAAACCCUUUUAUCUUUUAUUUCAAUUAAAUAAAGUGUCCCUUUCCUUUUAUGUUUCAAAUAAGUGUUGUUUGUGUAUUUUCUUUAUACAGUACAUUUUAUGUUGAUUCUAGUGAUAUGACAUACCUGCGGAAUUUUUAGUUAGAUCUUAAAAUCCAACUUAAUCAUGAAGCAUUGAAUCAGAGAGUUAAAGUUAAGAAAAGAGAGCAUCUGAGAAAAUAGAUAGAGUGUUGGGGCAUUUGGUGAUCAAGUUGAAGCCUUCUUUGAAAAUUGAGACUUUUAUUUUGAGAAUCACAAGGAUAACUUGGUCAUCAAUUGAAAGACAUGUCUUAAUUAGGUCAAACAGUGUUUGUGUCAUCCUUUCAAGAGGAACAGAAAGAAAAUCAACUCCACGAAAGCAUGAGACAUUCAAUGUGAUGGAUAUACAACAAAGGUGGAGUUUGUAUGUUUGACAAGUUUAGAAGAAGAAGUGGAACACAUACUCAGUUAAAGUUAGUGUUGUUAAAGUAUUGCAAAUGAUCUUCAUUUUUCAUUUCAUGUUGCAUGAUAUGUACUUGCAUUUUCAAGGAUUGAUAUGACGAAGACAUUUCAUUCUGCUAUCUAAACAUCGUGCCGUCCUUUGUUUACCCCAUUUGAGCUUUAGUCCUAUUUUCUUUCAUACCCCUCCUUUGGAAUUAAGAUAGAGUCAGUAAAGCUCAAAAGAAAAGUAUCAAGAAAAAAAAUAGAGUCAGAAGGUCCCAAAAAGAAAAAAAAUUAAUAAAAGAGUCAACAAAAAAAAGAAGAAGAAAAAAUCAAAAUCAAGCAAAAGAACAAGCUUCCAGAACUACGCGUGACCUGAUUCUCCUCUUUCGGGGGUGAGAUGUGUAGUCUUUCCUAUUCUGUGCUCGGUCCAACCAAAUAAAUCAUUUAGAGUCACCCAGUAAAAAGAAACUGGGACAUGAUUUAAUCCUCAUUGUUUGAGUCGAUUCCAAAAGUUGUAAGUCUCACCCCACUUCAAGUGUUGUUUGGGCCUCAUGCCAUCCUUUUUUUUCUAGACCUAUCUAAAAUUCAAGUUACAACCAAAGAAAGACCUUCGGAUCAAUUUUUGAGAAUUUUAAGACUUAGCAUGGAAUGAAUGUGAUGACAUAUUUUAGGAACUACUCAUUUUCCUUAGCAUAAGAAAUCAGGGGAGAAAUAAAAAUGAGAGAAUCUUAUUGGUGAAAACCUUCACGGGCACCAUAAGGCGAUAGUAAGUUGAGAUAGAUAAAAAUGAGAGAGUCUUAUUGGUGAAAACCCUCACGGGCACCGUAAGCGAUGGUGAGUUGAGAGAAAAAUGAGAGAGGCUUGUUCGCAAAAAUCCUUCAAUGAGCCACUAGACGAAUGAGCUCUUCGAAUGCAAUAGGUUCAAGCAAGUAGCUUAGUUUCAGAGCUAUUAACUCAACAACAAUUAGUAGAAAGUUUGGAUGGAAAGAUCAGGCAGUUUGAUCCAAUGUAUGGCAUAAUCAUUAGAGUUGACUGUCAUUUCUAGAUAAAUUUUUCAUUUCUUUAUUUCAAAUGGUGACAUUCAUUGUCUUUUCUUUCUUCUGUGUAUUUUUAUUUUAUUUUCUUUAGUCAGUUGUCCAAAUAAAAUCAUUGUCAUUUUUUUUCUCUUGUCUUUAAGUCAAGCCCAUGUUAAAACAAGUGAGAAAAGAUUUCAAAAUUGGCUACCGGCUUCUUCAAUUGCGCGAAGCAAGACAAAAGACCAACACAUGAAAGAGACAUGAUUGUGAGCCGAAAAAGGACAUGCAGAAAUUUUUAUCAACAGAUAAGUCGGGGAACUCAUGGAAAUACCAAGGUUCAAAGGGUUUAUCUGAGGAGCAUGGAAAAGCAGAGAUAUUGUGCUUGUUUCAGAGUCACCCUUAAUAAAUCGGAGUUUGGUCAAUCAAGCAGCAAGUAAAUUACAUAGGCUAAUGGUUGGAAGCAAGAACAAAUGUGACAAGGGCAAGGCGAUCGCCGCGAAACCCAAAGCCACAAACCAUCCACCCUGCUUUAAACUCACAAGUUUUGUUUGAUGAAACAGGAAACAUAUUACCUUCAAAGCAAGGACUUCAGAGCAUAAAUAUCAAGGCCUGCAAUGCCUCACUUUUACAAAUGCACGAAGCAAUAUUGCUGAACAGGUUUGGUAAUCAAAUCAUGGUAAAAUUCAUCAUCUUAUAUCCCUUGGAGACACAUCUUGUCCAGGGAUUUCAGUUUUCAUUUGCUGGGUGAUACACUUCUUAAAUUGAACCUUCACUCCUAAAAGACGUACCUUUUAGCCGAGUCAUUUCCUUUGAUUCCUAUAAGACGUACCUUUUAGUCAAUUCAUUCCCUUUGAUUCCUAUUAGAUGUACUUUUUAGUCGAGUCAUUCUCCUUUGAUUCCUAUAAGACGUACCUUUUAGUCGAGUCAUUCCCCUUGACCCGUAGAAGAUGUACCUUUUAGUCGAGUCGUUCCUUUGAUUCCUAUAAGACGUACUUUUUAGUCGAUUCAUUCCCCCUUGAUCCCUAGAAGACGUACCUUUUAGUCGAGUCAUUCCCCUUGAUUUCUAAAAGACGUACCUUUUAGUCGAGUCAAUUCCUUUGAUUCCUAUCAGACGUAUCUUAUAGUCGAGUCAUUCUCCUUGAUUCCUAUAAUGAUGUGACUUUUACAAAAGUCCUUUGAUGAUAAACUGGGGCAAAAUUUAAUUCUUGUUUUUGGAACUUUACUUUUCUGGCAAACGAAAUUUCUCUUUAUAAUAAUUUUUGUUUGGGAUAACUUUCUUUCCAGUUUUGAUGUGAUUUCAGGAGCCUGCUCGAAGCACAGGGCGAAUAAAUGGAAAACCAAGCAACAAGGUGAAGAAAUUAAAAGUUAAACAGAUUGAAAAACAGCAAGUCAGGAGCCCGCCUGUAGAACAGGGUGAAGAAAUUGAAAGCAUAGCAACAAGUUUAUGAAAUAGCAAGUUAGGAACCCGCCUGGAGAACAGGGAGUAAAAAUUGAAAGGCAAGCAACAAGUUGAAGAAAUUACAAGUCAGGAACCCUCCUGAAGAAUAGGGUGAUGAGACUCAAGUCAAGAGUUCAAAAGAAGUUGCGUAGAUAGGAUUUUGUAAUUUCAUUUAUGUUUUUAACUUGUAAUUUUUAUUUUUGAUGUAAUGACAGAGCCGCGGACCGAAACCUCGACGGGACCUCACUCGACUCUCCAACUCGGUAUAGUUCCUCUCCUUCCAACCCUUUGAGAUACGUGUCAAUUGAUUCCUUCAUAACUUGGGUAGGUAGGAUGUCCCAAGUCAAUACCCGGUUACUCUUCUUUCUUCUGUUUCUUUUCUUGAAUAAUGGUCGGGUCAAAAUUUGGUCUCGUUGUCUACUUCUUUUUCUGAAAAGACUUCGUGUUUACAUGCAAAGAGGGGCAUGAUAUAGACACGUAAUUUUGUCCCUGUCUGAAAGCAUUUUUACCAUCGUACCUCUCGUCUUACCAUGAACGCUCACCAUGUGAUUAUACCCCACAAAAAUACAAAAAUAGCAAAUUUCAAUAAAUCCCUAAUAUUUCCUUAGCCUAAGAAAUUUUAUCUUGUUUUAACCUUAUCCUAACCAACUACCCCACCUACCUCACCACCACAUACCCCCAAUUUCCCUACCCUCCACGUCUUAUUCAAGAUGGAAACCAAUUCACAAAGACAAAAAAUAGAAGAGGACCCCACUUGAAAGACAAUUUUUGAUCUUUUUUCAUUUUUCGUAAAGGAGAACAAAAUACACUAAAAAAACUCCAUUUUCUUUUGGGGCCUAGGUGAUAUUCCUUUUUCUUCUUUUAUUUCCAAAUUGAUAGGUGGACCCCACGGGAAUUUCCAAUUUCCAUUCCACUUAUAUACACACUCUCUCUCAUAUGUAUAUGGACACCAACGGUAACAAUACAGAGGGUGGACACCAUCAACAUCAUCUUCUCCACCUUAUACCAUCACAGCAAGACACUCCCAUUUCGAAUCAACUUCCAUUUUUCUCUAAAACGAUAGCUAUUAACGCACACAAUUACCCACAAAUACAUAAAAAGACGAAAAGUGGGUCGAGGGUGAAGCGAGGUCGAGAGAAAAAUAGUGAGAUAGAGGGGAUCGAAGAGGAUAGAGAGUGAGAGAUAUAGAGGAGGGAGACGAGAGAGAAAUCGAAGAGGGAGAGAAAAAUUGGUGAGAAUCUGAAAGGCACGGAUUGGAAACGCAAUAUGGUCGGCAUUCUUGGCCAAAAAUGGCCCGCCUCCUCACCGAGAAAUACAAUCAGAUGUUCACCCACCACCAUAAAUGACCAACAUCCGCUUCCCACCGUUGAGAAAUGCAAAACCAGUGAUUAAAUCACCCAAAAUUAGCCUGUUUUUGAGUUGAUUCCAGUGGAGCUUCGCCGGAAAUCGUGUACGGAUUUGGUUUGUGCAGUUUCUUUUUUGGGUUAUCUGUUCGUCACCUCAGAAUUGUGUUCGAAUCCUACUCGAGAAAGUUUUCGUGUUAGAAUGGGUUGACGGUCGAGAUUGAAUAUCCGUCGAGGUUAUCGGGACGGCUCUUAUUUAUCUUAUUAAAAUCAAUCGAAAGCUCUUGAGGUCCAUCUCUUUACUCUUAUUCUGUUUUCUUUAUUUUAUUUUGUUUUGUUGAAAUUGCUAUGAUUAUGUGUUGGGUGAUUGUAGUUGUUGAUUUUAGGAUCAUGUGGUUGGUGAUGACUCCGAUGGUAUGAGGAAUGAAUUUGAUUAGUUUUAAUAAUGCGAUUGAUGAAAAGAAAUUUGGGGGAGAAUUCGAGAAGAUGAUAAAAUAGUUAAUUGAGAUUAGUUUGGGUUUAUUAUUGUUUUAUUAAUUCGAAAUAAGUUUGAAUAUUGUGGGAAUAUGAUAGAAUUAUGACAUGUUGAAAUGAAUAGUCAAAUAUAGGUUCGGGUAGGCAUCAAUUUAGGAAUAAGUAUUUUUCGUUGAAUGAUUGAAUGCAGAAUGUGUAUUGAAUAUUUUCUAGUUUAUCGUAUAUGACUCAAGUGUAUUCAUUUGGCCGGGGAAUGCCCCGAAGUUUCAUGUACUUAUUUAUUGGGGAAUGCCCCGAUGUAUUAUGUCUUCGAAGGAGGUUCAUGAUCAAAUACCGAGGCAUCGGGUAAGGCAUUGGAGCGUAGUUUAGGAUUAGUGUAGGUUAGUGUAGGUUUAUUUUUCAGUACCUUUUCCAUUUCGGGUUGUAAUAAUUGGACUGAACACUAUGUUUUGGAUUUGUUUUGUUUUGUGUGUUUGAUUGAUUGUUUUUAUGUUCUUUGUGUAGUUUAUGCACUUGUAAUGUCAAAGUUAGCCGAUACGAUCUACCAAGUGACCGUGGUCGAACCACAGGAUCGAGGGGUGCCUAACACCUUCCCCUCGGUCAACAGAAUUCCUUAGCCGGAAUCUCUAUUUGCGGAUCAGUUUUAAAGAGUCAAAUCUGUUUUGAAAAAGGAUAUCCAAGGGUGACUUGGCACACCCGAUUUAUGCCAAGUGGCGACUCUGAGUUUUGAAUAUAAAAAGUCCUUUUCAAAAUAAAUCUUCAUUUUUUGUCACAUAACAAUAAAAACCCUUUCGAACUUCAAAUUAAUCUUUUUUGGGGAGUUAAAAAAGGAGUGUGACAGGUUUUAUAGCAAAAUGCUUCUAUUUUUGAAAGAUUCCCUUAAAAAAUGACAUGGAUGAGCACAUUUUGUAACGACAAUAGCAUGGAUAAGCCAAACUUUAAAUGGAUGUCACAGAUGAGCCUUUUCUCAAAGUUCGAUGACAUAUUUGAACCUUUUUCAAUAUAAAAAGCAAAAAUUAGGUGUAUAAUUUGUAUUAAAUUAACAAAGAACGAAAAUUGCAUUAAGGGAGUGAAGGCGACUAGUACUCAAAAGUCGCAACAUGCUUUUUUUUUUUGGGCCUAACCCAUCGUCAAGCCUCUUAAGUACGCGCGAUCUUUCACUUAGGUACCUCAAGUGGACGUCCCUUACUUUUGGCACCUCAAGUAGCCAUAAAGUGGGUCAUUUUGGCACCUUUUGCUAAGUCAACAAAAUAAUACUACGUGCGUGUGUUACACGUGCCGAUGAGCUGGAAAAUGACGAUUAAAAUGUGGGCAUGUGUCAUUUUUAUUCAAAUAAUUUAUACAUAAUUAAUUUAAAUAAAAAAUACCCCCUCCCCCUAACUUACCCACCCCACUAGUCUUCUUCUUCAAACACCCCACC